UGAAGAAGCCGCCUCCCUAGUCGCAAGAAAAGACAAUCUCAUUGGAUUCYGGGAAGCUUUUAAAGGAAUACGCGAGCCCCAUCUUCAGAUGGAAGGAUUCCUUUUGAGAUCGAAAACACUUGCACGAGAGCCUACAGAAUUUCCAGUUUUAUGARCCUACGUUCAGAAUGAACGCUGCCUACUCUACCAGCAGAACUCCCUCUGCCAUCUUGCAGUUGCUUUCUUCCUCUUGGUCUCGUUCUUCUCGCUUGAGCCUGCUCUGGGUGAAAUGGAAAGUAUCAGAGGAUGUGCGUAGUAAAAACUUGUGGUUAUUUUCCUGUGAGCUCCUGAAGGUCCUUAUCAAUAGGGUAGCUAAUAAAAUCAAGCAUUUAUUUUAAAAACCACCCCUAUAGAAAAGAGGGAAAAAAAAAAAAAAAGGACUGUUAAAAGAGAUGUUCAUAGACUAGCUAGAAUGUAAGAAAUACCUCUUUUGUAAGGCAGAAGUUUGCUUAGAAUCAGAAGUUUCAACGGAACCAGGAAGCCCCAUGCAGUACAACAAUGACCACAGCAUAAAAAGCUGGGUUCAAUGGCCUCAGGCUGAGAUUUUCUACAAAGCAGGACUGUUCCCUUUUAUAAAUGGGCAAUCUUGAUCUAAGGGACGCUGCAGUGUAUUCCUUUGCUGCACGGCGAGCCAAUUCCCAUGUGGAUUGAACUAGAUCCUGUCCCGUGCUGACGCAGGGGGUGAAGAUCUCAGAGGUUCUCUCCUACCUGUUGGGCUCCUCUCUGAUGCCCUGCAGCUCCUGACGGUCUCUCUUCCCCAGCUCCUUCUCUUCGGCAGCCUCGUGUGCUGAAGCUCUCAUCGCCACUUUCUGACCUGACACCAUGAGUUUCUACGGCAAGAGCAUGUGUUUGCUACAACGUGGCCAGAAUGCGCUUGCCUCAUUCAUUGCUCCGUUUAACACACCGCCAACUUAGGAAAUAAGAGGUUCUUUAGGAAGACAGAGAGAAGACGAGAAAAAAAUAACUGCAGUUACCUGCUGCUGCAGGCAAAGCUCGUCUCCGUCCAGCUUUUCGGAGCUUUUUGUUGCAUUCCUUCAACAGCGGAAAGGCAACCGGAGAUGUUGCCUGAUGAUAAAGAAAUGUAACCUUAAUAUUUAACAAUAAUAAUCUGCAUCUUGAGGUUUCCAUUGCAUUCUAAAGUGAGGAGGGGAAAUUCCGAAUAUAUUGUAUUUCACAGUCCUUUUAAAAUUCUUCAUUUCUUCUGCUUUCUUGUUUAGUAAAUCUUAACGUUGCAUCCGUUCGUCCGUUCCGCUGUCCCGGUGAGUUGCUUCGUGGCUUUGUGCUGAAUGUUCUUGUUGUCAARUGUUGGACAUUUCCAACUGUUUCCUGUACUUUGUUUCACAGUCCUUUUAAAAUGCUGCAUUUCCUCUGCUUUCUUGUUUAGUAAAUCUCAAUGUUGCUUCCGUUCUUCGCUUCUGCAGUCCAAGGAGUUUCUUC